rnacentral:lncRNA from 1 species
AUGAUUCCUUCUGGGAAGAAGAAAUCAGGCAAAAAUAAUAACGUAAGAAAACAUGAGGAUGUAGCUUGCUCCGCCUGUUUUCAGUGCCAGAGUGGGCUGCCUAAACAUCAGAGAAGUUCAAGGCAACAAAGAAUGGAUCCUGUAGUUUGCUAAGCAGCAGUUUCUCCAGACAUGAGCCACCACAAAUCUCCUCAUCGGACAGAUUGAGCCCAUGCUUUGUGCCCUGCAACUGUAUUAAGAAGAAGGCGAACACAGAAAGCUUGGUCCCACAGGUAGGAGAACACACUGCUGAGUUACGCAGCCCAGCCCUGUGGAAAAAUAGCCACAAUCCUACACAAUCAGAAACCAAUGUCCAAGGACUGAUAGGCUAGAGAGAAUAGUUUAGGUUUUUUUUCUUUUAUUAGUGUUUACCUGCUAUAGUCUGUAAAAUAUCCUUUCCAGGAAAGCCUUGUUGCUGAAUGAUACAGGAGAAAAGAAAAAAUGAUAGCUGAAAAAAAGCGUCCUUCUUUUUAAACAGAUUUUUUAAAUUAUUUAUUUAUUUAUUUAUUUUGAGGAAGAUUAGCCCUGAGCUAACAUCUGCUGCCAAUCCUCCUCUUUUUCCUGAUUAAACUGGCCCUGAGCUAACAUCCAUGCCCAUCUUCCUCUAUUUUAUGUGGGACGCCUGCCACAGAAUAGCUUGCUAAGUGGGGCAUGUGUCCGCACCUGGGAUCCGAACCGGUGAACCCUGGUCACUCGAAGUGGAACAUGUGAACUUAACCAUGCACCACUGGGCCAGCCCCCAAAAGAUUGUCCUUUUUUUAAAAAUUCAUAUUUACAAUUUUCUGUGAAACCUUUGAUUUUAGUGGUGGCCUCUUUUAAGAUGAAAUAUUAGGGAACUAAAGAUAUGCCUUAGGUGAGCUGAGACAAUGCCUAUUUAAAAAUCCAUUUCUCCAAGGCCAUAGCUAAUUGAUUCUUGAAAUUUCUUUGCUGAAAUAACCUUGUCCCAUAGGCCAUUGUACGUCAAUUAUUUCUUAUUUCACUUGAAAAUAAUAGUAUUUUGGGGCCAGCUCCAUGGCCGAGUGGUUGAGUUCGCGUGCUCCGCUGCGG